rnacentral:rRNA from 1 species
AGGGGGAUAAUGCACAAUGCGCGAAAGCAUGAUGCAGCGACGCCGCGUGGGGGAUAAAGGCCCUCGGGUUGUAAACUCCUUUUGCUCUGAACAAGGCAUGCCUUCGGUGUUUGUUUAGUGUAGGGGCUGAUUAGCGCCGGCUAACUACGUGCCAGCAGCCGCGGUAAUACGUGGGGCGCGAGCGUUGUCCGGAAUUAUUGGGCGUCAAGGGCUUGUAGGUGGCUGGUUGCUUCUGUCGUGAAAGCUCAUGGGUUAACUGUGGGUUUGCGGGGGGUACGGGCUGGCAGGAGUGCACUAAGUGAGGCUGGAAUUCCUGAUGUAGCGGUGGAAUGCGCAGAUAUCAGGAGGAAUACCGGUGUCGAAGGCGGGUCUCUGAGCUGUUACUGACGCUGAGGAGCGAAAGCGUGGGGAGCGAACAGG